rnacentral:lncRNA from 1 species
GAUGUUUUAACUGUGCUUUAUGAACUGUUUUCCUGUUUGUGGCAGUGGAGGCACCAUAUACCAGCUGCCUCAGAGACAAGGCACGGGAAAUGGAGAUGUGACUAAGGUGGAGAGAGGUGUGAUCCUCCCUGACCUCUGCACCUCCCACAGAUCUGCUCUUGCCUUGUGCAGAUGUUGCUUAAUUUGUGGCACUGACACUUUUAAGGAACCUCACCAGCAGUCCGUGUAUAUUGAGGAGAAGGCGCUACAGAUCUGGACACCAUUGGACUAUGAUAACCCCCAAGUACUGGGAGAUACGAGCUUCUAA